AUGUCUUCGGUACCAGUGUGUGUUAUCGUCUGCUGGUCCUAUCCUCAAUCGCUGGCACACUUACAAAUAUGGAACGGGGCCUCAUUAAAUGGGCUCUAUGCAACACUCUUAAACAAUUUUAAGGAUGAAGAAUCCGAGGAGGAGGCCCCACCCCCAAAGAAGGCUGAAGGUCACGGCUGCCAAGGAGGAGUCUGACGACGAUGAUGAUGAGGGUAAGGAUGGGGCCCGCUGCUGCCUAUCUUGGACGUUACACGUAGGGCUUAUUGGUCGAAAGAACGGGUGGUAGUUCAAUGUGGUAUGGGCCACACUGGCAGAUCGAU
rnacentral:lncRNA from 1 species